AAACUUUCAACAACGGAUCUCUUGGUUCCGGCAUCGAUGAAGAACGCAGCGAAAUGCGAUAAGUAAUGUGAAUUGCAGAAUUCCGUGAAUCAUCGAAUCUUUGAACGCACAUUGCGCCCCCUGGCAUUCCGGGGGGCAUGCCUGUUCGAGCGUCAUUUCAGCCCCUCAAGCCCGGCUUGUGUGAUGGACGACCGUCCGGCGCCCCCGUCUUUGGGGGUGCGGGACGCGCCCGAAAAGCAGUGGCCAGGCCGCGAUUCCGGCUUCCUAGGCGAAUGGGCAACAAACCAGCGCCUCCAGGACCGGCCGCCCUGGCCUCAAAAUCUGUUUUAUACUUAUCA
rnacentral:rRNA from 1 species